rnacentral:rRNA from 1 species
UACGAAGGGAGCUAGCGUUACUCGGAAUUACUGGGCGUAAAGCGUGCGUAGGCGGCUUUGUAAGUUAGAAGUGAAAGCCUGGGGCUCAACCCCAGAACUGCUUUUAAUACUGCAAAGCUAGAGUAUGAGAGGGGAUGGCGGAAUUCCUAGUGUAGAGGUGAAAUUCGUAGAUAUUAGGAGGAACACCGGUGGCGAAGGCGGCCAUCUGGCUCAUUACUGACGCUGUUGCACGAAAGCGUGGGGAGCAAACAGG